rnacentral:snoRNA from 13 species
UCCUAAUGAAGAAAACCAGCACCUGUCUUACUCCUUGUCCUGGCCCCAGAGCCUGCAAAGGCGAACCCACUGGGGUCGGCUGGGGGAGAAGAUGAUAAUCUGUUCCAGCGGGAACAGUCUGAGGGAC